CUGCCUUGGCUUCCCGGAAUGUUAUGAUUACAGGCGUGAGCCACCUGGCCUGGCCCCGUCUUGAUAAAUUGGCUUUGUCUAGGCAGUGGACAAGGAGAACUCCACUGGGUGGUUGCAAAUCUGGGGAGUCAUCCGGGACCAUCCUUGUGGAUACCUGCCUGACGUUUGUUAGCCCUCCACCAGCGAUGGAUCUGGAGGCCCGCCCAAGUGGCAAUUUAGUUCUUGGACUGGGGGCUAACUGUAGCACCGUCUCUACCAGCAGGGUGUUGCCAACUCAUGGUGCAUGGAUUCAAAUGCAAUAAACAGUCCUGGGGAGAUGUCCCGCUCCUGUAGCCCCAUCAUGGGUGUCUGAUUUGGAAUUGCUGAUGGAAGUCCAACAGGCUCUCCUAGUUUGUCUGGUCUGUCACAUUUGCUGAACCCUGAAGGAACUGUUAGCGGAAGCGCAACAGGCCUGACUCGUGGUGAUUUUCCAUUGUUCUGGAAGCUGCAGGGAAAGGGAACCCAGAAAUCUGGUAUGCCAGCAAAGAGAGUAAGAACUUCUGACAAGCCAGGCUUCUGGUCUCUCUCUCUCUGUCUCUCUCUCACUCUCUCUCUCUGUGAAUGGUAAACAUCAUUGUUUGUCUCCUCUGCAAGGGUUUGAUUAAUUGAAAAAAGGAUUUAUAACUGGGCACAGUGGCUGUAAUUCCAGCACUUUGGGAGGUCGAGGUGGGCAGAUCACCUGAGGUCGGGAA
rnacentral:lncRNA from 1 species